rnacentral:rRNA from 1 species
UGAAUACGAGACGCUAAGGCGUUGAAGUAGUGUAUGUCAUACUUCCAAGAAAAGCUUGCACUGUCAUAGAUAAAAAACGCCUGUACCAUAACCGACACAGGUGGGUAGGUAGAGUAUACUAAGGGGCGCGAGAUAACUCUCUCUAAGGAACUCGGCAAAAUAACUCCGUAACUUCGGGAGAAGGAGUGCCUUAUUUAUAAGGCUGCAAUAACAAGAUCCAAGCAACUGUUUAUCAAAAACACAGGUCUCCGCUAAGUCGUAAGACGAUGUAUGGGGGCUGACGCCUGCCCAGUGCCAGAAGGUUAAAGAAAUUGGUUAGCAAUAGCGAAGCUGAUAACUGAAGCCCUGGUGAACGGCGGCCGUAACUAUAACGGUCCUAAGGUAGCGAAAUUCCUUGUCGGGUAAGUUCCGACCCGCACGAAAGGCGUAAUGAUUUGGAUACUGUCUCGGAGAGGGGCUCGGUGGAAUAGACUUGUCUGUGAAGAUGCGGACUACCUGCACCAGGACAGAAAGACCCUAUGAAGCUUUACUGUAACUUGAAAUUGAAAUUGGACUUUAUUCGCGCAGUAUAGGUGGGAGGCGUUGAUUGUAAUCUUGCGGGAUUAUUGGAGCCAUCAGUGAGAUACCACCCUUGUAAUGUUAGAUUUCUAACUUUGAAUCAUUAUCUGGUCAAAGAACAGUUUCAGGCGGGCAGUUUGACUGGGGCGGUCGCCUCCUAAACGGUAACGGAGGCGUACAAAGGUUUCCUCUGAACGGUUAGAAAUCGUAUCUAGAGUGUAAAGGCAUAAGGAAGCUUGACUGUGAGACCUACAAGUCGAGCAGGGACGAAAGUCGGUCUUAGUGAUCUGACGGUACUGAGUGGAAAGGCCGUCACUCAACGGAUAAAAGUUACUCUAAGGAUAACAGGCUGAUCUCCCCCAAGAGUUCACAUCGACGGGGAGGUUUGGCACCUUGAUGUCGGCUCAUCGCAUCCUGGGGCGGUAGUACGUCCCAAGGGUUGGGCUGUUCGCCCAUGAAAGCGGUACGCGAGCUGGGUUCAGAACGUCGUGAGACAGUUCGGUCCAUAUCCGGUGUAGGCGUUAGUAUAUUGAGAGGAGCCUUCUUUAGUACGAGAGGACCGAGAAGGACAUACCUCUGGUGUACCAGUUAUCGUGCCAACGGUAAACGCUGGGUAGCUAUGUAUGGAGUGGAUAACCGCUGAAAGCAUCUAAGUGGGAAGCCCACCUCAAGAUAAGUAUUCUCAUC